UACAGAGGGUGCAAGCGUUGUUCGGAAUUAUUGGGCGUAAAGCGCGUGUAGGCGGCUUUGCAAGUCGGGUGUGAAAGCCCUCAGCUCAACUGAGGAAGUGCGCCCGAAACUGCAGAGCUUGAAUACCGGAGAGGAUGGCGGAAUUCCCCAAGUAGAGGUGAAAUUCGUAGAUAUGGGGAGGAACACCGGUGGCGAAGGCGGCCAUCUGGACGGCUAUUGACGCUGAGACGCGAAAGCGUGGGGAGCGAACAGG
rnacentral:rRNA from 1 species